GGCGAUGUAGCUCAACGGUAAAGCAUGGCCCUCAUAAAGCCGAGACGGUGGUUCGACUCCACCCAUCGCCA
rnacentral:tRNA from 1 species